GUGGGGAAUAUUGCGCAAUGGGCGAAAGCCUGACGCAGCGACGCCGCGUGAGGGAUGAAGGUUUUCGGAUCGUAAACCUCUGUCAGAAGGGAAGAAACUACAUUGUGCUAAUCAGCAGUGUACUGACGGUACCUUCAAAGGAAGCACCGGCUAACUCCGUGCCAGCAGCCGCGGUAAUACGGAGGGUGCAAGCGUUAAUCGGAAUUACUGGGCGUAAAGCGCACGUAGGCUGUAGUGUAAGUCAGGGGUGAAAUCCCACGGCUCAACCGUGAAACUGCCUUUGAUACUGCAAAACUUGAAUCCGGGAGAGGGUGGAGGAAUUCCAGGUGUAGGAGUGAAAUCCGGAGAUCUCUGAAGGAACAUCAGGGGCGAAGGCGGCCACAUGGACCGGUAUGGACGCUGGGGUGCGAAAGCGUGGGAGCAAACAGGAUUAGAUACCCGUGUAGUCC
rnacentral:rRNA from 1 species